rnacentral:rRNA from 1 species
GACGAACGCUGGCGGCGUGGAUUAGGCAUGCAAGUCGAACGGUAUCAUCCUUUCGGGGGUGAGAGAGUGGCGAACUGGUGAGUAACACGUAGGUUAUCUACCCUCAAGACGGGGACAACCCAGGGAAACUUGGGCUAAUACCGGAUGUGAGCAACUUUUAGUUGUUUGAAAGGUGACGUAAGCUGUCGCUUGGGGAUGAGCCUGCGUCCUAUUAGUUAGUUGGUGAGGUAACGGCUCACCUAGGCAAUGAUAGGUAGGCGGCCUUAACGGGUGGUCGCCCACACUGGGAUUGAGAUACGGCCCAGACUCCUACGGGAGGCAGCAGUCGAGAAUAGUCUACAAUGGUCGGAAGACUGAUAGUGCGACGCCGCGUGAACGAUGAAUCCCUUCGGGGUGUAAAGUUCUUUUAUAUGUGAGCAGUGCUUCUUAUAUUAACAGUAUGGGGAGAGAGAUAUUAGCAUAUGAAUAAGCAACGGCUAACUCCGUGCCAGCAGCCGACGGU